CUGAGAGUGAGUGCCUUAGACCACUACCAGUAGGGCUCCCAAGUGAGUCUACCAGUAGCUUGAGCAUAGACUGCCGGUUAUGUCUCUGGUUAUGUAUAUCAUCAUUAUCGCUAUCACCACUAGGAUAGCCCACAUUACCUAAUUACCUAACUAGCUACCUAGCUAUCUCGCUGGCUAACGUUAGCCUACCACAAUACAACUUGGAUUUGGCUUGGAAACAUGAUAACAUCUUAAAAGAAGGCCCUAACUAAGAUUGAGGGGACCACUGUAUUUUAGCUAGCUAACAUUAGCAUUGCUAGCUAUUUUUGACUAACUUUGCUAGUAACAGUAAUGGCAACAUUGCCAUCUCUCUAAAGUAAAUUUGACAACAUCAUAAUAUGGCAAAAUGACUUAACAAUAUCGUUGUAUUUCCAUGCCACUCUAAGUUAGUGUAAUUUAAACAGUUACGUCAUUAGCCUCUGAGGUGCAACCCCUGUCUAGGGCACAAAUUUGGUUGCAGCUAUGGGGGUACUAGCUAACUCAUGUCUGACUGCAACAGUGUACUAACUUGCAGAAACAAAUUCAACCAUCCCAGGACCAUAGCAAAACAUGUCACAGUUGGUUGCAUAGUGUAAGGGUGUUACCGGCCUGAAUCUAAUCCAAUCUGGAGCCAGUCAGUCUACAUCUGUAAAGCAUAGAAUUAGCUUGCAAACGAGAUGAUGUUAUUUCUCGAUGUAUGUUUAUAAUUGAGGCAUGAUGAUAGCUGUUGACCCUGUUUUCUCUCUCCCUCGACUCAAAUGAAAAGGACAUGCCAUCAUGAGGCCUCUGAUAGUGACCCGAAUUACUGCUCUGAUGACACAGACAGCGUCAUCAACAACGACCAGUAAUGCUCUCCCAGUCAACAUCACCUCAUGAGAUUGCCUAUUGCAGAUGUUCGAGAGAUGUCCAAUUUGCAGUCAAACAUGCAGCAUAGAGAAUACCAGCAAAGGGGCCCUCAUCAGCAUCAUGCAGAUAUGACCUCACUGUGAGCAUUCCUAUGAAUGGAACAGUCAGCCAUAUGUUGACAAGUAUCUGGCCAGCAGCCUUCACCUGUCAGCGGCAACAGCUUUCACAAGCUCAUUAUUUGUACAAAUAAAAGAAGGUAAACCACUUCAUUACUUCGACACAUUUGAUAACCCAAUUAUAAAACAAUUUAUGUAAACUGACAUUAUUUGUUGCUUAUUUUCUACUUCGUAGAAAAUGUUCAGAGCAUAACCUAGCCUGGUGGAACCAGCCUGAUCGAAGUGAAUUUCAUAGGUGAAUGCAGCGACCACGUUGGUUCCACCAGGCUAAUCAUAACCACCAUUGACAAGGCCGCAGGGCCAGACGGAUUACCAGGAUGUGUACUCAGAGCAUGCGCAGACCAACUGAAAAGUGUAUUCACUGACAUUUUCAACCUCUCCCUGUCUGAGUCUAAAAUACCAACAUAUUUCAAGCAGACCACCAUAGUCCUUGUGCCCAAGAAAGCGAAGGUAACCUGCCUAAAUGAUUACCGCCCCAUAGCACUCACGUCGGUAGCCAUGAAGUGCUUUUAAAGGCUGGUCAUGGCUCUCAUCAACACCAUUAUCCCGAAAACCCUAGACCCACUCCAAUUCACAUACCGCCCCAACAGAUCCACAGAUGACGCAAUCUCAAUCGCACUCCACACUGCCCUUUCACACCUGAACAAAAGAAACACCUAUUUGAGACUGCUUUUCAUUGAUUAUAGCUCAGCGUUCAACACCAUAGUGCCCACAAAGCUCAUCACUAAGCUAAGUACUCUGGUAUUAAAAACCUCCCUCUGCAACUGGAUCCUGGACUUCCUGACGGGCCGCCCCCCAGGUGGUAAGGGUAGGCAACAACACAUGUGCCAAGCUGAUCCUGAACACGGGGGCCCCUCAGGGGUGCGUGGUUAGUCCCCUCCUGUACUCCCUGUUCACCCACGACUGCGUGAUCAAGCACGACUCCAACACCAUCAUUGAGUUUGCUAACGACACAACAAUGGUAGGCCUGAUCACCGACAACGAUGAGACAGCCUAUAGGGAGGAGGUCAGAGACCUGGCAGUGUGGUGCCAGGCCAACAACCUCUCCCUCAACGUGAGCAAGACAAAGGAGCUGAUUGUGGAAUACAGGAACAGAAGGGCUGAACACACCCCCAUUCACAUCGACGGGUGUCCACAUCACCAACAAACUAUCAUGAUCCAAACACACCAAGACAGUCGUGAAGAAGGCACGACAAAACGGGCAUGACAAAACCUAUUCCUCAGGAGACUGAAAAGAUUUGGCAUGGGUCCCCAGAUCCUCAAAAGGUUCUACAGCUGCACC
rnacentral:lncRNA from 1 species